UACGAAGGGGGCUAGCGUUGUUCGGAAUUACUGGGCGUAAAGCGUGCGCAGGCGGCUGCUCAAGUCAGGGGUGAAAGCCCAGAGCUCAACUCUGGAAUUGCCUUUGAGACUGAGUGGCUUGAGUACGGGAGAGGUGAGUGGAAUUCCCAGUGUAGAGGUGAAAUUCGUAGAUAGUUGGGAAGAACACCGGUGGCGAAGGCGGCUCACUGGCCCGUAACUGACGCUCAUGCACGACAGCGUGGGGGAUCAAACAGG
rnacentral:rRNA from 1 species